rnacentral:rRNA from 1 species
UGGGGAAUAUUGGGGCAAUGGGGCGCAAGCCUGACCCAGCAACGCCGCGUGAAGGAAGAAGGCUUUCGGGUUGUAAACUUCUUUUAAGGGGGAAGAGGAGAAGACGGUACCCCUAGAAUAAGCCACGGCUAACUACGUGCCAGCAGCCGCGGUAAUACGUAGGUGGCAAGCGUUGUCCGGAUUUACUGGGUGUAAAGGGCGUGUAGCCGGGUCUGCAAGUCAGAUGUGAAAUCCAUGGGCUUAACCCAUGAACUGCAUUUGAAACUGUGGAUCUUGAGUGCCGGAGGGGCAAUCGGAAUUCCUAGUGUAGCGGUGAAAUGCGUAGAUAUUAGGAGGAACACCAGUGGCGAAGGCGGCUUGCUGGACGACAACUGACGCUGAGGCGCGAAAGCGU